AUCGUUUCUCAGCUCUCCAAGCAAAGAUCGUGUGUGGCAUCUGUUCUUUGCGGCGCAACUUCUGCAACGGUCCCUGAUUUGAGACCUGUAAAAUUACCUGUGCUUUCAAACUGAAACCAGUGCUGUGAGCCUGCUCAACGCCGGAAAUGGGUCGGCUUCGUGUUAAAUUACUUCGCUCAUUGGCUCAUUGAUG
rnacentral:snRNA from 1 species